rnacentral:rRNA from 1 species
AUACGUAGGUCCCGAACGUUGCGCGAAAUUACUGGGCGUAAAGGGUCCGUAGGCGGUCUGGUAAGUGGAAGGUGAAAGCCUGGGGCUCAACUCCAGAAUUGCCUUCCAAACUGCCGGACUUGAGGCAGGGAGAGGUCGGCGGAAUUCCCGGUGUAGCGGUGAAAUGCGUAGAUAUCCGGAGGAACACCAGUGGCGAAGGCGGCCGACUGGAACUGUCCUGACGCUGAGGGACGAAAGCCAGGGGAGCGAACCGGAUUAGAAACCCUAGUAGUCC